GCACCCGUAGCUCAGCUGGAUAGAGCGCUGCCCUCCGGAGGCAGAGGUCAUAGGUUCGAAUCCUAUCGGGUGCG
rfam:Endozoicomonas numazuensis strain DSM 25634 scaffold00008, whole genome shotgun sequence.